AGUGAACGCUGGCGGUAGGCCUAACACAUGCGAGUCGAACGGCAGCACAGUAAGAGCUUGCUCUUACGGGUGGCGAGUGGCGGACGGGUGAGGAAUACAUCGGAAUCUACUUUUUCGUGGGGGAUAACGUAGGGAAACUUACGCUAAUACCGCAUACGACCUACGGGUGAAAGCAGGGGAUCUUCGGACCUUGCGCGAUUGAAUGAGCCGAUGUCGGAUUAGCUAGUUGGCGGGGUAAAGGCCCGCCAAGGCGACGAUCCGUAGCUGGUCUGAGAGGAUGAUCAGCCACACUGGAACUGAGACACGGUCCAGACUCCUACGGGAGGCAGCAGUGGGGAAUAUUGGACAAUGGGCGCAAGCCUGAUCCAGCCAUACCGCGUGGGUGAGGAAGGCCUUCGGGUUGUAAAGCCCUUUUGUUGGGAAAGAAAAGCAGCAGGUUAAUACCCCGCUGUUCUGACGGUACCCAAAGAAUAAGCACCGGCUAACUUCGUG
rnacentral:rRNA from 1 species